rnacentral:rRNA from 1 species
GAUCCUGGCUCAGGAUGAACGCUGGCGGCGUGCUUAACACAUGCAAGUCGAACGAAGCAUUUAGAACGGAUUACUUCGGUUUGAAGUUCUUUAUGACUGAGUGGCGGACGGGUGAGUAACGCGUGGGUAACCUGCCUUGUACUGGGGGGAUAGCAGCUGGAAACGGCUGGUAAUACCGCAUAAGCGCACAAUGUUGCAUGACAUAGUGUGAAAAACUCCGGUGGUAUAAGAUGGACCCGCGU